GAAUUUAAAAUUUUAUAAAUUUAUUAUGAAGAUUAAUGCUGAAGUUUAAUAGGUUUCUAUUUUAUUGGGAGGAUAGUUAAAUUAAAAAGACUUUAAUAAUAUAAAGACAUUAGUUUAUGAAUUAAUGAGUGAGUGAUUAGUAAGUUUAAAUAGAAUUAAUUACCUUAGGGAUAACAGCGUGAUAUAUUUAGAGAGAUUUUAUUAAUAAAGAUGGUUGC
rnacentral:rRNA from 1 species